UAAGGAAUAUUGGUCAAUGGGCGGAAGCCUGAACCAGCCAUGCCGCGUGCAGGAUGACUGCCCUAUGGGUUGUAAACUGCUUUUGUCCAGGAAUAAACCUAGAUACGUGUAUCUAGCUGAAUGUACUGGAAGAAUAAGGAUCGGCUAACUCCGUGCCAGCAGCCGCGGUAAUACGGAGGAUCCGAGCGUUAUCCGGAUUUAUUGGGUUUAAAGGGUGCGUAGGCGGCCUAUUAAGUCAGGGGUGAAAUACGGUGGCUCAACCAUCGCAGUGCCUUUGAUACUGAUGGGCUUGAAUCCAUUUGAAGUGGGCGGAAUAAGACAAGUAGCGGUGAAAUGCAUAGAUAUGUCUU
rnacentral:rRNA from 1 species